rnacentral:rRNA from 2 species
UGGGGAAUAUUGCACAAUGGAGGGAACUCUGAUGCAGCGACGCCGCGUGAACGAAGAAGGCUUUCGAGUCGUAAAGUUCUUUUAUAUGGGAAGAUAAUGACGGUACCAUAAGAAAAAGCCCCGGCUAACUACGUGCCAGCAGCCGCGGUAAUACGUAGGGGGCUAGCGUUGUCCGGAAUCACUGGGCGUAAAGGGUUCGCAGGCGGAAAUGCAAGUCAGGUGUAAAAGGCAGUAGCUUAACUACUGUAAGCAUUUGAAACUGCAUAUCUUGAGUAGAGUAGAGGUAAGUGGAAUUUUUAGUGUAGCGGUGAAAUGCGUAGAUAUUAAAAAGAAUACCGGUGGCGAAGGCGACUUACUGGGCUCAUUCUGACGCUGAGGAACGAAAGCGUGGGUAGCAAACAGG